CAAUGGUCUACAAAGCAAGGGUAAUAGUACUGUCAAGUUUUCCUCUGAUUGCACUUCUCCAAGGGUGAGACUAAUCGUUUUAGCACGUGCAUAAAUGAUUUGAUAAACAACUGAGGGAGCCGUACAUAUAGGAUCUGCUGUGCUCUGAUUGGUAGACGCCCGUCCUGGUCCCGACCCAGUCUAUAAUUUUAGGCCAUCUUCUAUUUAUUAAACACAGAUGCAGAUAUGUAAAAGCGCGGCUGUACAAACGGCGAAAGGAAAUAACGCUUUGGUGGUUCCGAUCGUGUUAAAAACACAUUAUUUUCGGUGGGGAUCCCGGGAAGUGGAUAAAAUAGUGUGAUUGACCUCAAUUGUGUCUGAUGCCGUUAUAACGCUGAACAAGCGCUUUAGUUAUCUGCCAUUUGAUGUAGCCGAGGGGAUCUCCUAGCGCCGUGAAUUCCUAAGUCAUCUCCGUUUGCUGCAGUAUCGUAUGAACUUCUUGCUGCUUUGUCCAUAUUGUUAUCAGAUGGCUAGUCCUGCUGAAAGAAACUCGCUCUUGCACGCCCAGAAUUCAACUAAUUCAACCCCGCGGGCGAAAUAACGCGACGUCGAACACCAAACUGUGGAUUCCUGUGCCGGACUUUGAGGCUUCUGUCCCGGUCGUGACGAAGUGUUUACUCAUAGGGCUAGUAUCACUGCGGAGUGAGCACAGAGAGGAUAUGCCCGAUUGGUUUGGAUUUCACGCAUGAGGACAGCGUCGCCAAGGCCUGUUAGUUUUCUGUUAACCAAGGCCCAUAUUUGGCAGUAAUCAAAUAGUUCUUUGAAAGAACGACUGUCUGAAACCUUGAUUUUUGUUGAAAGACGGGUUGAGCACUGUGGAAUAAAAUCACGAUUCGUCACCGGAAUUCGACAUUUUAUCGCUAAAGAAAACAGAACCGGGCGGUGUAAAAAAAAUGACGGGAGAAAAAUCAACAGAAAAGAGCAUAUGAGUAAUUGACAAACACUGCCGUUAUCGUAGCGAGAGACAGGACUAGCAAAUGAUUUAGCGUGUCAGGGUUACACUGAAUGAUGGUGUAAUUUCCUUCGGUCCUACGUUAUCGCGAGGUCAAGCGACAAGAUCUCGUAGGCUAAAUUCAUGUAUUUUUAGCUCGAACAAUAAAAUGCAAACACUGCAAAAAAUAA